CGUGCCGCUCGGCAAUCGGCGGUCAUUCCGCCACUGGGGAAAUACCGAGACACUUCACCGCGCAAAUCACACUUCUCAUCGUGGAAACUAUCACAAAAAUGCUUCGGUAAAGGAAGAAGAUGUCCUAAUUCGUGCCGGGUAAGGAAGAAAACCGAGGAGGAUUUUGCUGGCACGGCCUUAACAGCGACAGUACGCCAUUGCUAUGUCAGGGUUUGCAGGCUAUAAACACACCACGGAGGACGCCCGUCCUCUGUACUAGCCUCACGUACCUUCCAGUUACUGUUGCCUCCUUCUCAGAUUCAUGGCGAUUUUACACGUGGAAUUGUCCGGAUCUUCAUCAAAAUACGCACGGUCAAUGCAAGUAAACAUCUUGUAGCAACAGAAAAAAAUGUCACAAGCUGCUCGAACGGAAGAGUACACGACGGUCCGAAGGGCUAAAGUCACGGAGUCCGGAUGUGCUAACGGAAUCAGACUGUCCACCCGUUAUAACACGUGUAUAAUGGCGUCCUCUGGACGGUAGAAACUCGAGAACACGAUAUAUAUAUAUACACAUAUAUAUAUCGUGUGUAUGUACAUAUAUAUACAUACAGAAGUAUGUGUGCAUAUAUAUAUAUAUAUAUAUAUAUAUACACAUUAGUAGAGAAUAAUCCUCGAUCGAAUAUCUUUCACGUAUUUUAUUAGUUUUUAUUAAAUCUAUUGGGUCAGAUAUAACAAGAUAAUUCUUUUCUUACAAUUAAGAAAUUGUCUUAUCGAUAAUUCGUAAAUUGUUACAAUAGUGCAAAGAUAUUUUCUAUGUUUCUUUAUGCAUCCUUGACUACAUCCGUUCGUAUUCAUAUCUCGAGAUUUAAGAUAUAUAAUAAUUGUUAAAGGAAAUGUUUCAUAUAUUCAUUACCAUUCAUUUUAAUGUAUCACGCAUUUUCAAUUAUCAUCUAUGAAAACAUUUCCAAGAAAAUUAAAUAGUUUCGAAAUGAAUACGAAAGAUUCGUUAUUAUCGAACAUUUCUAAGAAACAAAUCUAUGAAUUUAUUUUUUUUCUUUUUUUUUUUUUUUUUUUUAACAUUAUUAUUUUUCUUUUAUUGAAGUUCAAAGUUUAUAUUUCUUAUCUUUAUAAAGAAUAUUUAUCUAAUAUAUAAUAAUAAAUUUGAUUCGUAUGUCUUACGUUUGUGAGUAUCAUGUGAAAUCAUUCGUUUGGAUCACUCGCUUGAUAUUGAUUUUAUUUUAUUUUUCUUUUUUGUUCUUUUUGACAACAAUUUGGAUAUUCAUUUUUAAUAAUAACUUCGUAAUUUUCAAAAGAUGAUAGAUAAGUAUGUGAAAAAAAAAAAGAUGUUGGGGAAGGGA